rnacentral:rRNA from 1 species
AGCAGCCGCGGUAAUUCCAGCUCCAAUAGCGUAUAUUAAAGUUGUUGCAGUUAAAAAGCUCGUAGUUGAAUUUCGGGAUUGACGUGAUGGUCAUGCCUUAAGGGGUAUGAACUGUUACAGUUGAUUUCUCACCUUCUGGAGAAACUUGAUGUCCUUUAUUGGGUGUCUUGCGGAUCCAGGACCUUUACCUUGAAAAAAUUAGAGUGUUUAAAGCAGGCAUUUUUGCUCGAAUACAUUAGCAUGGAAUAAUAGAAUAGGACGGCAUGGUUCUAUUUUGUUGGUUUCUAGGAUCACCGUAAUGAUUAAUAGGGAUAGUUGGGGGCAUUAGUAUUCAAUUGUCAGAGGUGAAAUUCUUGGAUUUAUUGUAAGACUAACUACUGCGAAAGCAUUUGCCAAGGAUGUUUUCAUUAAUCAAGAACGAAAGUUAGGGGAUCGAAGACGAUCAGAUACCGUCGUAGUCUUAACCAUAAACUAUGCCGACUAGGAAUCGAGUACGAUGUUAAUUUUUAAUUGACUACGU